AUUGAACGCUGGCGGCAGGCCUAACACAUGCAAGUCGAACGAGAGGAGGACGGGUGAGUAAGGGCUGGGAAACUGCCUGAGGGAGGGGGAUAACAACUGGAAACGGUAGCUAAUACCGCAGACCCGCAGAUGUGCCCAGUUGGGAUUAGCUAGUUGGUGGGGUAACGGGUCACCAAGGCGACGAUCCCUAGCUGGUCUGAGAGGAUGACCAGCAACACUGGAACUGAGACACGGUCCAGACUCCUACGGUAGGCAGCAGUGGGGAAUAUUGCACAAUGGGCGAAAGCCUGAUGCAGCCAUGCCGCGUGUAUGAAGAAGGCCUUCUGGUUGUAAAGUACUUUCAGCUGGGAGGCGUUACCCGCAGAAGAAGCACCGGCUAACUCCGUGCCAGCAGCCGCGGUAAUAC
rnacentral:rRNA from 1 species